GUACAAUUUCAAAAGCACUUACACUAAAGUUAGAACAAUAUGGAGAAGGUUAGCAUGGCCCCUGCACAUGAAUGACAUGCAAAUUUAAGAAGUGGUCCUAAUUUUA
ensembl:snRNA U6 U6 spliceosomal RNA